UAAGGAGCGGCCUAGGGCGAAACUGGUAAUUGGGGCUAAGUCGUAACAAGGUAGCCGUACCGGAAGGUGCGGCUGGAACACCUCCUUUCUGGAGAGAC
rnacentral:rRNA from 1 species